rnacentral:rRNA from 1 species
CCUCUCGGGGGUAAGCGGGCAGAACUUGCAAGUAUUGGCAAGAGAUUCAGACUUGAGUUUGGUAGUUGAGUGCUUUUGUUAAGUUGUUCAUUCGUGAACUGACUGAUGUUUGUACUUUAAUCUACUAAAAAUGUGUCGCACUUCUCUUUGUCAUCCGGGUUGCAUGCAACUGAUUUUGGUAGUUUAGGUUUUGAGAAUCUGUGCGUCUAUCAUUCGUGAUUGAUUCAAGUCUUAAAUUUCCAACUACUAAUGCGGUUGUAAGAAAAUAGCGAACAAGCGUUUGACGCGGUCAAUUAUUUUUACGAGUCGUGUACGUACUUUAUAUGGACAAGUAAUUGUAGUAUAUUGUAUGUACUGGUUGUCAGUAAAAGUUAUUUUGGCAUUGUUCAGUAUUGCAAUCUAAAGCAUGCGUGGUCUGCCUGU